GGGACUGUGGCUCAGUGGUAGAGCAUCUGCUUUACACGCAGAAGGUCCCGGGUUCAGUCCCAGGCAUUUCCA